rnacentral:rRNA from 1 species
AGCGAACGCUGGCGGCAGGCCUAACACAUGCAAGUCGAACGAACUCUUCGGAGUUAGUGGCGGACGGGUGAGUAACACGUGGGAACGUGCCUUUAGGUUCGGAAUAACUCAGGGAAACUUGUGCUAAUACCGAAUGUGCCCUUCGAGGGAAAGACUUAUCGCCUUUAGAGCGGCCCGCGUCUGAUUAGCUAGUUGGUGAGGUAAAGGCUCACCAAGGCGACGAUCAGUAGCUGGUCUGAGAGGAUGAUCAGCCACAUUGGGACUGAGACACGGCCCAAACUCCUACGGGAGGCAGCAGUGGGGAAUCUUGCGCAAUGGGCGAAAGCCUGACGCAGCCAUGCCGCGUGAAUGAUGAAGGUCUUAGGAUUGUAAAAUUCUUUCACCGGGGACGAUAAUGACGGUACCCGGAGAAGAAGCCCCGGCUAACUUCGUGCCAGCAGCCGCCGUAA